GUACAAUGAUGCUGACCUCACUGAUAUCAUGGGUCACUUAACUUCUGUUUCUAAGCUCACAACUACUUUUGCUAAUGGAAGGAUGGUUGGGAAAAAAAACCUUCUUAUCAAUACUAUCAGCAACAAGACUAUUCCAGUCACCUUAUGGGGUAAAAUAGCUGAUGAAUUUGAAGAGGACAAUGUUCUAAAGAUCCCCAAAAAAGAUCGUAUU